rnacentral:rRNA from 1 species
GACGGAGGGUGCUAGCGUUGUUCGGAAUUAUUGGGCGUAAAGAGCUCGUAGGCGGCUUGUCGCGUCGGAUGUGAAAGCCCGGGGCUUAACUCCGGGUCUGCAUUCGAUACGGGCAGGCUAGAGUUCGGUAGGGGAGAUCGGAAUUCCUGGUGUAGCGGUGAAAUGCGCAGAUAUCAGGAGGAACACCGGUGGCGAAGGCGGAUCUCUGGGCCGGUACUGACGCUGAGGAGCGAAAGCGUGGGGAGCGAACAGG